rnacentral:rRNA from 1 species
GGUGAUUGCAGAGUAGCCACGUUCGGAAGGGAUAAACGCUGAAAGCAUCUAAGUGUGAAACCCUCCUCAAGAUGAGACAUCCCUGACUAUAAGUCAAUAAGGAACCAUGCAGACUACAUGGUCGAUAGGCCGCGGAUGCAAGUGCAGCAAUGUAUUCAGUCCAGCGGUACUAAUCAUCCGAAUGGCUUGACCAU